CGCCUCCUGAACCUGACCAUAUAGGAGGUCCCGCCUGCCCUGUGACCAAAAGUUUAACGGCCGCGGUAUUUUAACCGUGCAAAGGUAGCGCAAUCAAUUGUCUUUUAAAUGGAGACCUGUAUGAAUGGCAUAACGAGGGUUUAACUGUCUCUUUUUUCCAGUCAAUGAAAUUGAUCUGCCCGUGCAGAAGCGGACAUAUUUACACAAGACGAGAAGACCCUAUGGAGCUUUAGACGCCCACCAACUAUGAAAAGUAACCAUAUCAACGGAACUCCAAACAACAUACCCCUGGUACAAACGUCUUCGGUUGGGGCGACCACGGGGGAAAACAAAGCCCCCGAGAGGAUAGGGGAACACCCUAAAACCAAGAACUACAAUUCUAAGCCACAAAAUGUUUGACCAAUUAAUGAUCCGGCUUACGCCGAUCAACGGACCAAGUUACCCUAGGGAUAACAGCGCAAUCCCCUCCCAGAGUCCAUAUCGACGAGAGGGUUUACGACCUCGAUGUUGGAUCAGGACAUCCUAAUGGUGCAGCCGCUAUUAAGGGUUCGUUUGUUCAACGAUUAAAGUCCU
rnacentral:rRNA from 1 species